rnacentral:rRNA from 1 species
CAAGUCGAGCGGAACGAUCCUAGCUUGCUAGGAGGCGUCGAGCGGCGGACGGGUGAGUAAUGCAUAGGAAUCUGCCCGGUAGUGGGGGAUAACCUGAGGAAACUCAGGCUAAUACCGCAUACGUCCUACGGGAGAAAGCAGGGGCUCUUCGGACCUUGCGCUAUCGGAUGAGCUUAUGUCGGAUUAGCUGGUUGGUGAGGUAACGGCUCACCAAGGCGACGAUCCGUAGCUGGUCUGAGAGGAUGAUCAGCCACAUCGGGACUGAGACACGGCCCGAACUCCUACGGGAGGCAGCAGUGGGGAAUAUUGGACAAUGGGGGCAACCCUGAUCCAGCCAUGCCGCGUGUGUGAAGAAGGCCCUCGGGUUGUAAAGCACUUUCAGUGAGGAAGAAGGCUUGUCGGUUAAUACCCGGCAAGAAAGACAUCACUCACAGAAGAAGCACCGGCUAACUCCGUGCCAGCAGCCGCGGUAAUACGGAGGGUGCGAGCGUUAAUCGGAAUACUGGGCGUAAAGCGUGCGUAGGCGGCUUGAUAAGCCGGUUGUGAAAGCCCCGGGCUCAACCUGGGAACGGCAUCCGGAACUGUCAGGCUAGAGUGCAGGAGAGGAAGGUAGAAUUCCCGGUGUAGCGGUGAAAUGCGUAGAGAUCGGGAGGAAUACCAGUGGCGAAGGCGGCCUUCUGGACUGACACUGACGCUGAGGUACGAAAGCGUGGGUAGCAAACAGGAUUAGAUACCCUGGUAGUCCACGCCGUAAACGAUGUCGACUAGCCGUUGGGGUCCUCGAGACCUUUGUGGCGCAGUUAACGCACUAAGUCGACCGCCUGGGGAGUACGGCCGCAAGGUUAAAACUCAAAUGAAUUGACGGGGGCCCGCACAAGCGGUGGAGCAUGUGGUUUAAUUCGAUGCAACGCGAAGAACCUUACCUACCCUUGACAUCGUGCGAACUUGGUAGAGAUACCUUGGUGCCUUCGGGAACGCACAGACAGGUGCUGCAUGGCUGUCGUCAGCUCGUGUUGUGAAAUGUUGGGUUAAGUCCCGUAACGAGCGCAACCCUUGUCCCUAUUUGCCAGCGAUUCGGUCGGGAACUCUAGGGAGACUGCCGGUGACAAACCGGAGGAAGGUGGGGACGACGUCAAGUCAUCAUGGCCCUUACGGGUAGGGCUACACACGUGCUACAAUGGCCGGUACAAUGGGUUGCAAAGCGGCGACGUGGAGCUAAUCCCAUAAAGCCGGUCUCAGUCCGGAUCGGAGUCUGCAACUCGACUCCGUGAAGUCGGAAUCGCUAGUAAUCGUGCAUCAGAAUGGCACGGUGAAUACGUUCCCGGGCCUUGUACACACCGCCCGUCACACCAUGGGAGUGGACUGCACCAGAAGUGGUUAGCCUAACUUCGGAGGGCG